AUACGGAGGGGGUUAGCGUUGUUCGGAAUUACUGGGCGUAAAGCGCACGUAGGCGGACUGGAAAGUUGGGGGUGAAAUCCAGGGACUCAACCCCGGAACUGCCUCCAAAACUUCCAAUCUAGAGAUCGAGAGAGGUGAGUGGAAUUCCAAGUGUAGAGGUGAAAUUCGUAGAUAUUUGGAGGAACACCAGUGGCGAAGGCGGCUCACUGGCUCGAUACUGACGCUGAGGUGCGAAAGCGUGGGGAGCAAACAGGAUUAGAAACCCUAGUAGUCC
rnacentral:rRNA from 1 species